AUUGGACAAUGGGGGGAACCCUGAUCCAGCGACGCCGCGUGAGUGAAGAAGUAUUUCGGUAUNUAAAGCUCUAUCAGCAGGGAAGNNCGNNNUNACGGCACCUGACUAAGAAGCCCCGGCUAACUACGUGNNNGNANCCGCGGUAAUACGUAGGGGGCAAGCGUUAUCCCGAUUUACUGGGUGUAAAGGGAGCGUAGACGGCGAUGCAAGUCUGAAGUGAAAGGCGGGGGCCCAACCCCCGGACUGCUUUGGAAACUGUAUGGCUGGAGUGCAGGAGAGGUAAGUGGAAUUCCUAGUGUAGCGGUGAAAUGCGUAGAUAUUAGGAGGAACACCAGUGGCGAAGGCGGCUUACUGGACUGUAACUGACGUUGAGGCUCGGAAGCGUGGGGAGCAAACAGG
rnacentral:rRNA from 1 species